GACCGCCCGUCGGGGAGAAGGUUCCCCUGGAGCCUGGCGAGGCUCUACAGCAGCGGUUCUCAACCUGUGGGUCGAGGAUAUUGGGAGGAUUAGGAGGAUAUUGGGUACCUGCAGGAUCUCCAGUGGAAACACUCAACAUUAUGCCCAGACCUGGUCCCAAGAAGCCACCACUACAGCCACUGCUGGAUACAGAUACCGAAACUGGGACCACCAAUACCACUUGAUCUAGGUACUGGAUGAUGCCGCUGCUGCCCCUGGAAACUAGGGUUCUGCUACAUGACAUGAAGAGGGCAAUUUCCCAAACACAGGAAGAGGGGUCAGAUGCAAUCUUGCGAAUGGAAGAUAAAGUUGAAAGAAGACCAAGACUGGAUUUUGGAGAAAGAAAAAUGGUGAAGUAAGGACUUUUAUUAUUAAUUUUGUUGUGUAUUG